rnacentral:rRNA from 1 species
AAUGAACCGGCGAGUUACGAUUUGAUGCAAGGUUAAGCAGUAAAUGUGGAGCCGUAGCGAAAGCGAGUCUGAAUAGGGCGUUUAGUAUUUGGUCGUAGACCCGAAACCAGGUGAUCUACCCUUGGUCAGGUUGAAGUUCAGGUAACACUGAAUGGAGGACCGAACCGACUUACGUUGAAAAGUGAGCGGAUGAACUGAGGGUAGCGGAGAAAUUCCAAUCGAACCUGGAGAUAGCUGGUUCUCUCCGAAAUAGCUUUAGGGCUAGCCUCAAGUGAUGAUUAUUGGAGGUAGAGCACUGUUUGGACGAGGGGCCCCUCUCGGGUUACCGAAUUCAGACAAACUCCGAAUGCCAAUUAAUUUAACUUGGGAGUCAGAACAUGGGUGAUAAGGUCCGUGUUCGAAAGGGAAACAGCCCAGACCACCAGCUAAGGUCCCAAAAUAUAUGUUAAGUGGAAAAGGAUGUGGCGUUGCCCAGACAACUAGGAUGUUGGCUUAGAAGCAGCCAUCAUUUAAAGAGUGCGUAAUAGCUCACUAGUCGAGUGACACUGCGCCGAAAAUGUACCGGGGCUAAACAUAUUACCGAAGCUGUGGAUUGUCCUUUGGACAAUGGUAGGAGAGCGUUCUAAGGGUGUUGAAGCAUGAUCG